rnacentral:rRNA from 1 species
UACGUAGGGUGCGAGCGUUGUUCGGAAUCAUUGGGCGUAAAGCGCGUGUAGGCGGUUUGUUAAGUCGAUUGUGAAAUCCCUGGGCUCAACCGAGGAAGUGCAGUCGAAACUAACAAGCUAGAAGAAGGUAGAGAAAGGUGGAAUUCCAAGUGUAGAGGUGAAAUUCGUAGAUAUUUGGAGGAAUACCGGUGGCGAAGGCGGCCUUUUGGGCCUUUCUUGACGCUGAGACGCGAAAGCGUGGGGAGCAAACAGG